AUUGAACGCUGGCGGCAGGCUUAGCACAUGCAAGUCGAGCGGAGAUGAGGUGCUUGCACCUUAUCUUAGCGGCGGACGGGUGAGUAAUGCUUAGGAAUCUGCCUAUUAGUGGGGGACAACAUUCCGAAAGGAAUGCUAAUACCGCAUACGUCCUACGGGAGAAAGCAGGGGAUCUUCGGACCUGUCGCUAAUAGAUGAGCCUAGGCCGGAUUAGCUAGUUGGUGGGGUAAAGGCCUACCAAGGCGACGAUCUGUAGCGGGUCUGAGAGGAUGGUCCGCCACACUGGGACUGAGACACGGCCCGGACUCCUACGGGAGGCAGCAGUGGGGAAUAUUGGACAAUGGGGGAAACCCUGAUCCAGCCAUGCCGCGUGUGUGAAGAAGGCCUUAUGGUUGUAAAGCACUUUAAGCGAGGAGGAGGCUACUGAGACUAAUACUCUUGGAUAGUGGACGUUACUCGCAGAAUAAGCACCGGCUAACUCUGUGCCAGCAGCCGCGGUAA
rnacentral:rRNA from 1 species